rnacentral:misc_RNA from 1 species
CAACCCUCAAGCUUAGCUUGGUAUUGGUUGUCACCUAGUUAGGUGCUCCUUAAAAUCAUUGGCAGUGCCAUCUAGCUUCAAGCGUAGUAAAUUUUCUCGCUUUGGAAGUUUUAGAUAUGUGCUUGCCAUCAACACCCUAUUCUUCAAU